UUUCUCAACCCCACUCAACCCCACUCAACCCCACUCAAGACUCAACCCUAAACGACAAAGGCACAGCAGCCAUGUUUUAUCGUCUCCCGAUUCCUUUCUUUUCUCGAUUUUCUUUUCUCUUGCAUCUUUGAACGUGAUUGAAACUGUUGGCUGCAGAACAAAAAGAAAGAAACCGACCGACAUGAAAACUUGAUUUGAUGACUCACCCACAGAGAGACAUGCUUGUGCAGCACAAAUGAGUGGUCAUGCAAUGCUACUGGCUUGCCACUCGAACCCUUUAAUUAUAACACAAUCGUGUAAUUGUCUCAAAUUGAAAUGAUCUCAUCAAGAAUUUGAAUUUCGCCCUGCAGCCAAAUGAGAUUUGGAAAUAUUUCUAUGAAAACGCCUUGGCUACACCAACGAAAUGAGAAAGACGAAAGGAAAAAAAAGAAGAACGCGUGUACGACUAUCCGGUAGCAAAUGGGAAGCUGCCGCUACCACUCCAGAGGCGAAAUCCAUUCAUCUUGUUCCAAAAUCUCUCCCUCAGAGAAAACAGAAGAAAUGAUACUCUCUCGCGUAAGAUCCUUUUUUAAAAUUCCAUUAACGGAUAAAAAGGGGAAAGAGAUCUUACCAACGUUUGAAAGCAAUAACCAGAAGGUGGAUGGCAACAGCUCCAGGUGGAAUUCACACACACGCGCAUAAAUAGCCAACAACAAAAAAAUGAAAUUCGGAACGCAUUUUUGUGCCCCAUCUUUCAGCUUUUUCUGAUUCCACUCCAUUAGCAUCACUCGGAUGACUUGCGAAGGAACAAACAAAUCAAGGCUUGUCUGUUAUCUACGGCUGCGUUAUUCGUUAACUAGCGCACUCGUCCAGCUAUUUUAUCCACCUUGAUUUCAAGCGACCCACUAUCUUUUUUUGUUUGUUUGUUCCACGUAACAACGUACCUGCAGCGAUGUGAGUAAAGAAGACUGAUCCCCCUUUAUAUCGCUACGUGGGACCACCGUACACUGUUGCUAUACCUAUAGCAGAGCAGACGUUCCAGGUAAUAAAGAUAAAGACACUCGAAGCAGAAAAAAAAAAAAGGAAAUUCAACUCAUCAAAGUGGAAGGAGCCACCUGCAUUACACGGCCCAGGGAAACGAGAAAGAAAAAAAAAAUCUACCAUAGAAUUAUAUGGCAGCUAUUUAAAAACAGGUAUUUUUAUUUAUUUCAAGCAGGCGGCGUUGUAGCAAAACAAAGUUGUUUUGGAUAAUGGCACGAAUAUAUUUCGUUUGGUUGAUUAAAAUAAUAGAUGGAAUAAAUAAGAUUACACGCAGCAGGAGAGAGCAACGACAGGUAGGGCGAAAGAUUUUCAAUUCAUUCGAAUCACGAAAUUGUUGCAUCGAAUCAGUUCCAUCCAUUCACAAGACAUCCCAUUAUUCUAAUGUUUCAAAUGUGUACUCUAUUCCCCUUCAGAAAGAAAAAAAAGGAAGCAAACGUAACAAAUCGCUGACUUGACGGGAUGAAUUCAUUAUUAUCAUUUUUUUUUUUAACAGAUACAAACGAGAGAAUUUUCAGAAGAAAUAAUCAUAACAACGGGUUUUUUUUCUUUUGUUUUUCUUCUUUGCCCACCCGGACAUACCUACCCGAGUUGCUAGUCCAUCCACUAGUACAAUUACUAGGACAAGAAGGACUUGGCAGCAGUCGGUCAACAUGUGAUUAUUCCAUUAGGACAUUGGGUGGCCGAUCACGCAAUCUCACAUUUCUACUUUUGAUUUUCAUCGUCUCUCUCUCUCGAAAUUUACAAUUUUUUUUUCUUUUUUCUUUGAAAGAAAAGAAUUUAUUUCUUUUCUGAAAGCAAUCUGACAAUGGACGAGGCCGUGAGAAAUCUCUGAUGUUACCCCAAUCGGUUUGUGGCGUGUGUUAUCGUGACUGGUAAACUGCGCCCAGCUUUAUAUAUCCUCCCCCCUUUUUUUUCUUUCUUCUAAGGUCUUACACGUAGGUGAUGCAGCAGCAAAAUCUUGUAAGUUUUAGUAUCUUUUUUUUUUUUUUUCUUUUAAAUCCACAACAAAACGAAUAAUCAAGACAGGAAAUAAAAAGAGAAACGUU
rnacentral:lncRNA from 1 species